GGUCAAGAUCACAUAGAUAAGGGCUCCAGACAUUAAGACAAGUGGAUAUGAACAGGAACAUCCUCCCUAAGAUUUUAGGAGUGCAUUUAUGAAGCAACAGCGUUAAGGAAGCAGCUGCAGGAAGACACUGUGCAGUGCCUGGCAGGUCUGGCAGCAUCUCUGAUGUGCAGAUACAGAAAAAUCAUCUUAACUGCAAAGAUCCUAAGUUUAAAUAACAUGGUAUAGCUGCACUUCUCCUCAUUGUCAGUCCUGAGCAGAAGCAGAAUGUGAUCUACCUACCAGAGACAGAAAGAUUGUCUUCACCAGGACAGCACGGCUUGGUUGGAUAUUUCACUUUCAUUUACAUCCCAGCACCCAUGAGGAGGGAUACCAUUAAAGUCAACCUUCAAGGAUGUGCUCUCACCUACAAAAUCCCACUAAGCUCAGUGCUUCUGCUACACGAAUUCUGGAAUGAGUUUGAAUUGAAGGUGACAAGUGUGCACUUCCAAAACACAGACCUUGUCCCCUACUUCCCUGCCAACAGCCUCGGAGAUCGUGGACUAGAGGAAGGUUAUUGAAUAUCCACAAAAGGGAAAGACACCCUAAAGCCCUAUACAAGUAAUGGGCAAGUCCUGGAGUGCUGUAUGCCACUUCUCUUUCAUAAAA